AAAAAUGUGUAUACUAUAAAGUUGGGACCGUGGAUGUAGUGACAUUUAUUCCUUACAGUAUAAAUUAGUGGAGAAGGAGCGAGUAGGCGGAGAAUCAAAUAUCGAUGGCGUCAAGAGGAAACGCUGUACAUCCGAGGUGGCAGGGGGAGGAGGAAGCGUGGAAUGGCACGUUCGACCUCCAAACCCUAAAAAUUCGAUUGUUUUCUUCGAUAUUACCAUACGUACCAUUGAUGCCGGUCGUAUCAAUGGCACGUUCGACCUCCAAAACAAUUUUUACAUGUAUUUUCAAAUUGGUCCUUAGAGUUUUGAAUUUUUAAAAUUAAAGACAUAUUUUUAGUGCUAUAAUCAAUUUAGUCCCUUUCGUGGUGUGUAUUAUAAGGUCAAGACUGGUCCAAAUAAUGUCGGAACGAUCUUUGAUCUAUAAUUGCGGAUUGAAAAAAUCGGUUCCGAUUCAGACCGGUCAAUAUGAUUUUAAAAUAUAUAAUAUAAUAUAUUAACAUUUACUAAUCUAAAUCAUUUAUUUAUUUAAUUUUCUUAACUAUUCAACAUUUAAAUAAUUUAUAAUUUAUAUAUUUAUAAUCAAUUUUGUUAAUAAUUUUUUUAAAAAAUAAUAAUUAUUCAAAUGAGUUAGAACUUAAUUAUAUAAUAAAUAAAAUAUCUGAAAUAUGUAAUAGUUUAAAUUUUGAUAUGUUUUAUUUCAAAAUUAUAUCGUUCUACUCCAUGCUAUUAAAAUUUAAUAAUAAAUUUAACAAAUUACAUCAAUAUUACAUUGUCAUAAUUUUUAAUAAUAUAAAAUUACAUCAGAAAAAAAUGAUAAUACAAAUAGAAAUUGAUAUCGUCACUUGUUCACAUGUUAUAUAUAAUUUUAAAAUAUAAUAAUAUAAUGUGAGAGAGAUAACUUAUAUAAAUCUAUAAUUUAUUAACAACUUUAAUUGAUUUAAACACAUACAUUUUUUCUUAUUAAAACUAUAAUUAUAUUUGAUAUAAUCGAAUUAUUUACUUAACGUAGUAACAUAAAAAAAUAAUUUGUAUCAGCACUAUUUGGUAGAUAGAUUAUUUCGAUAUCAUAAGUAUGAAUUUAUUCUUAAACUAUUUCAUAUAAAAAAGUUACAAAAAUAAAAAAUUUAUUUUACACUAUUUCAAAUAAUUAUGACCAAUAUUAUUAAUAAUGUCAAUUUAUAUAUAUAUUUUAUUUUAACAUAAAACUUUAACUUUUAUCAAUUAACAUAUGAUAAGUUACAUGUAUUAUAUUUUUUGAUUUUAUAUGUCGAUAUUAUGGAUUAUUUAUCUGUAACUUGUUUAUAAAACUCUUGAUUAAUUUUUUAAAAAUUAUUAAUAUAUAUAGUUUAAAUUUAUCCUGAUGUUAUAAUACUUAUGGAUAAAACUGUUUAAGAAUUUUACUAUCAUUGCAUGUACUGAGUAAUAUUAUUGACUAACUCAAUUAUAAAAGAAACCGAAAAAAAAAAUUGGAGAGAGUUAAUAGAAGAUAAAAAUAUAAAUAAUUGCAUUUAUUCAUCAAUAACCAUAGUUGAUACAUGUAUUUAUAUUUAUAUAUAUUUUAUAAUAAUCGUUAGUUAUAAUAAAUUAAUAAAAUACUAUAUUAAUUGAUUUAAAAUAUGAUAUUUACCGAACAAUAAAUAAAAUAUUUUAUAAAUAAUUUAAAUAUAUGAUAAUAUUAUUAUUACGAUUAUAUGAGAUUCAAUAUUUAAUUAUUUUAAUACUUAAUUCAAAAGCUAGUUAUUUAUCAAAAAAUUACUGAGUAAAAAAAUAGGACUAUGUUUGUAUAUUUAUUACAUAUGACAUUAGGUUGACUUUUGAUUUUGUUGGUUAUUCCGAAAAAAUGUGUAUACUAUAAAGUUGGGACCGUAGAUGUACUGACAUUUACUCCUUACAGUAUAAAUUAGUGGAGAAGGAGCGAGUAGGCGGAGAAUCAAAUACCGAUGGCGUCAGGAGGAAACGCCGUACCUCCGACGGUGGCAGGGGGAGGAGGAAGCGUGGAAUGGCACGUUCGACCUCCAAACCCUAAAAAUCCGAUUGUUUUCUUCGAUAUUACCAUAGGCACCAUUGAUGCCGGUCGUAUCAAGAUGGAGCUCUUCGCCGAUAUUGCUCCUAAAACCGCCGAAAAUUUCAGGUCCUGCAACUUUCUUCAUGCUACAAUUAUCGACAAUACUUCACUAUUUCGAUUUUCUUUUUUUUCGGUUUCUCUCCGGUUUAGUUUUGUUUUUAGUACGUGGAUAUGU
rnacentral:lncRNA from 1 species